UACGGAGGGGGCUAGCGUUGUUCGGAAUUACUGGGCGUAAAGCGCACGUAGGCGGCUUUGUAAGUUAGAGGUGAAAGCCCGGAGCUCAACUCCGGAACUGCCUUUAAGACUGCAUCGCUUGAACGUCGGAGAGGUAAGUGGAAUUCCGAGUGUAGAGGUGAAAUUCGUAGAUAUUCGGAAGAACACCAGUGGCGAAGGCGACUAACUGGACAUGUAUUGACGCUGAGGUGCGAAAGCGUGGGGAGCAAACAGG
rnacentral:rRNA from 1 species